GAGUUUGAUCUUGGCUCAGGACGAACGCUGGCGGCGUGCCUAAUACAUGCAAGUCGAGCGAGGGUUUUCGGACCCUAGCGGCGGACGGGUGAGUAACACGUAGGCAACCUGCCUCUCAGACCGGGAUAACAUAGGGAAACUUAUGCUAAUACCGGAUAGGUUUUUGGAUUGCAUGAUCCGAAAAGAAAAGAUGGCUUUUGGCUAUCACUGGGAGAUGGGCCUGCGGCGCAUUAGCUAGUUGGUGGGUAACGGCUACCAAGCGACGAUGCGUAGCGACCUGAGAGGGUGACCGGCCACACUGGGACUGAGACACGGCCAGACUCCUACGGGAGGCAGCAGUAGGGAAUUUUCCACAAUGGACGAAAGUCUGAUGGAGCAACGCCGCGUGAACGAUGAAGGUCUUCGGAUUGUAAAGUUCUGUUGUCAGGGACGACACGUACCGUUCG
rnacentral:rRNA from 1 species